CUUCUUCUUGCGCUUGGUUGGCAACGCUGUUUUCAUGUGGUUAGCAACAGCACGACUAACGGAUAAUCGAACCAUACUUCGCAACACUUUUUUCGUCAGUGCGCAGUUUUUUUUUUUCGAGUGUAAGUGAAGUGCACAGUGUUUAUUUAAAAAACCAAAAAACUAUUGAAAAAAUUGUCAUUGCAACCAUUUGCAAUUAAAUAAAUGUGUAUAAGUGUGUGUAGUGCAUCGUGUUCGGUCGGGUCGUGUUUAUCGUGUCGUCGCGGCAAGCGAAAACAGCAAAAACAACGAAAAUUUCUAGCGCCGGUGCAACAAGUGCCGUUAAUUGCAUUUUUAUACCGAAUGAAAAUUCCGAAACAGGCAAAAGGCAAAGGCAAACAACUUCAUUGCGUGUCAUGGCAAGUUAUUGGCCUAGGACCUCCAACUUGGCAAUAUUUGGCAACCGCAGCAACAGCAACAACAAACUAAAUUUAUGGGCAAGCGAUAAGCGCCGGCAAACGAGAAGCAGCGAAGCGAUCGGGGCACUGCCCAAAAUUGGACAUGGAACGUGCGUCGCGCGCUUAAAGUAGAAUUUAGUAGCUGUCAAAGCCAUCAGCUGGUGCCGGGCAACACCUACAGCAGGAGCAGCAGCAUCAGCACGCAAGUGUCCCCGCAUAAUCGCAGCACAUAGCUUAAAUUCUUUUGCAUGUCAGGCGCAUUUGUGUGGGGCUCCCGUUACUCUGCAGCGUUGUGUGUGUUGGCCAAUCGCGCUAUGUAUUUAUGCGGUGCAUACAUUGUUAGUUAUGCAACAACAGCAACAACAACAGCAACAACAACAGCAACAAACAGCUAACAGCUGGAGUCCACUUAUGCAGCAUGACAACUGCAACAUCGAAGACGACAACAACGACAACGUCGACAACAGCUACAACAUCAACAGCUAUAGCUAUAGCUACAGCUACAGCUAAAGCAACUGCAACAUGGAGGACAAUCAUUGGCGGGCAUCAAUGGCAGGCCUACAUUUCAAUGUCAGCCAAGUGCCCAGCGCUACCAAUCAAGUUGUUAACUAUGCAAAGCAAUAAAUUGCAACGGCCAGCAACAGCAGCGAGCAGCAAGCAGCAACAAUUGUUAUGAACUGAACUUUAAAUAACAAUCAGCCAAGUGCCGUUAAAUGAAUGCGACAUUGUGUGCCGCGGCAGUGAAGCUCUGAAGCUCUGAAGCCACGGCAAGCCAAGCCAAGCGAAGCCAAAUAAACUUAGCUCAGCCCAGCAGAUUGCCUAUCAAAUGGAUCGAGUCUGUACAACAUUUUAUUGAAUUCAUUGUGAUUUGUGCGAAAACUUCUUGGCGUUGCAUUUUUCCGCCCUCUUCUCGCUGGGCAAGAAGCGUUUACCAAAUGGAAUUGUUGUCUUUGUUCUGUUCUGUUAUGUUGUUGUGGGAGCUGGAAUGCCUCUGCCUCUUCGUCUUCGUCUGUUCCCCCUCUGGGUUCCAUUCAACCAAUUCAGCUGAUGUUAUCAAGGCCUGGCCUCCGGCAGAAGCUUUCCUCAGUGUUUGCUGUGCUCUCUGCCAAGGUAGCAAUUUCAAUAUCAAAAUUCGCCUGGCCUUUGGUCCGCUGCUGAGACCAGAGAACAUAGAACAGUGAACCACAGAGCCGCCAUGAAACCG